CCCUUAGAUGUCCUGGGCCGCACGCGCGUUACACUGAUGCAUUCAACGAGCUUAUAACCUUGGCCGAGAGGCCUGGGCAAUCUUGUUAACGUGCAUCGUGAUAGGGAUAGAUUAUUGAAAUUAUUAAUCUUGAACGAGGAAUUCCUAGUAAACGCAGAUCAUCAAUCUGCAUUGAUUACGUCCCUGCCCUUUGUACACACCGCCCGUCGCACCUACCGAUUGGAUGGUCCGGUGAAGCCUCGGGAUUGUGGUUCUUGCCGCUUUAUUGUGGCGUGACCGCGAGAACUUGUCUAAACCUUAUCAUUUAGAGGAAGGUGAANUCGUANCA
rnacentral:rRNA from 1 species